GGUCCCUCGGACCCUCCAGCGGAAACAAGAGACGAAGGCCGGAGCGGUCCCUCGGACCCUCCAGCAGAAGAGAUCACUAGGCCAGCCGUCAUGGAGGCCACUGGCCGACACAGAGGCGACACAGGAGCCUGAGCCGAGAGUGGCUGCUGAGCAGGCGACACUGGGAGCUGAGCUACUGGAGACACAGUUUUGAACAUGGUGGAAGUCACCGGAUACACCCAGGAUUGAAGAAAUAUGCCUGUGCGCUCACUUUGGACUCCAACACAGC